UAAUGACCGUGCGAAGGUAGCAUAAUAAUUAGUCUUUUAAUUGAAGACUGGAAUGAAUGGUCGGACAAAAAGCAAACUGUUUCAGGUUUAAAAAUUGAAAUUAACAUUUAAGUGAAAAGGCUUAGAUAAUCUUAAAAGACGACAAGACCCUAUAAAACUUUAUAUAUAUAAGUAUAACUCUUGAUUUAUAAGUUUAAUAAGAUCCCUACAUUUAUGUAUUACGUUGGGGCGACGAAAGUAUACAAUUAACUGCUUUUUCAUAUAUACAAUUAUAUUUGAAAUUAUUGACCCUUUUUAAAGAUUCAAAGAAAAAGUUACUUUAGGGAUAACAGCGUUAUUUUUUUUAAGAGUCCUUAUCGACAAAAAAGUUUGCGACCUCGAUGUUGAAUUAAAGUCCCAUUAUAAUGCAGCAAUUAUAAAAGGAGGUCUGUUCGACCUUUAAAUCUUUACAUGAUUUGAGUCAACCGGC
rnacentral:rRNA from 1 species